rnacentral:rRNA from 1 species
UACGGAGGAUGCGAGCGUUAUCCGGAUUUAUUGGGUUUAAGGGGUGCGUAGGCGGGAUGCCAAGUCAGCGGUAAAAAUGCGGUGCUCAACGCCGUCGAGCCGUUGAAACUGGCCUUCUUGAGUGGGCGAGAAGUAUGCGGAAUGCGUGGUGUAGCGGUGAAAUGCAUAGAUAUCACGCAGAACUCCGAUUGCGAAGGCAGCAUACCGGCGCCCUACUGACGCUGAGGCACGAAAGCGUGGGUAUCGAACAGG